AAAACUAUCUCGUUUCAGCCAUUAAUUUCAAUCUCGUCUCUCGAUUUCAAACAACACCGAAUGGCCUCAACACCUCCGCCUUCGACUUCCCAGGAUCAAUGCAAGAAGGAAAAAGAAGUUGUAGACAGAGGGAGAAAGAGAAGCAUCGAUGUGAAGAGAAACAUUGAUCUGUUUCCUCUUGUACUCACCUGACCUGGGCUCGAACCUGCAACCUUCUAGUAGUGCUGCUAAGGCCCUCCCUGAGGUCUUAAUCACCAGAAGCAAAGCAGAUCUUGGGUGCGGGAAGUGUCCCGCCUCCAGUCACACAGGAAGGAAGUGGCGGAGUGGAGCUGCGGGCCAGCUGGGCCUGGCUGCCACCUUUUGUUCCACUGUGUCUCCUGGGAGAGGACGGCCACCUUGAAAGCUGGCCAAACCUCUGGAGCCUGGAACUGAUAAGAAAAGUCACGAGGCAAAAGAUGGACUCGACAUAGAAAUACUUCAUUAACGGCGAAAAGUAUAGCACAGUGGAAGCAACACUUGCAGCAGAUGUGAUGGUUGGAGCUCCAGGGACCACAUUAGCCCAGAUGGAGCCCUGAGGGAUGGAAGCCAUGAACUGAGGAUGCAGAGCAGGAAGACAGAAGCCUGGUUCUUCGUGACCCGAGAGCAGGGGUCCACCAUGCUCGCCCUGAAAUGCUUCGUCUAGACUUCUUUUGUGUGGAAGGAAAAUAACUAAAUUGACUUGUUUAAGCUUA